UACGUAGGGUGCGAGCGUUGUCCGGAAUUAUUGGGCGUAAAGGGCUCGUAGGCGGUCCAUCGCGUCGGGAGUGAAAGCUGGGGCUUAACCCCAGUCCUGCUUUCGAUACGGGUGGACUAGAGGUAGGCAGGGGAGAACGGAAUUCCUGGUGUAGCGGUGAAAUGCGCAGAUAUCAGGAAGAACACCCGUGGCUAAGGCGGCUCUCUAGUACGGUACUGACGCUGAGACGCGAAAGCGUGGGAGCGAACAGG
rnacentral:rRNA from 1 species